UACGUAGGGUGCGAGCGUUGUCCGGAAUUACUGGGCGUAAAGAGCUCGCAGGUGGUUUGUCGCGUUGUCCGUGAAAACUCACAACUCAAUUGUGGGCGUGCGGGCGAUACGGGCAGACUGGAGUACUGCAGGGGAGACUGGAAUUCCUGGUGUAGCGGUGGAAUGCGCAGAUAUCAGGAGGAACACCGGUGGCGAAGGCGGGUCUCUGGGCAGUAACUGACGCUGAGGAGCGAAAGCGUGGGGAGCGAACAGG
rnacentral:rRNA from 1 species